rnacentral:tRNA from 1 species
GGGGUUGAGGCUCAGUGGUAGAGCACUCACCUCACAUGUGUGAGACCCUGGGUUCCACCCUUAGCACCA